UACGUAGGAUGCGAGCGUUAAUCGGAAUUACUGGGAGUAAAGCGUGCGUAGGCGGAUUGUUAAGCAAGACGUGAAAUCCCCGGGCUUAACCUGGAAAUGGCGUUUUGAACUGGCAGUCUAGAGUGCGUCAGAGGGGGGUGGAAUUCCACGUGUAGCAGUGAAAUGCUUAGAGAUGUGGAGGAACACCGAUGGCGAAGGCAGCUCCCUGGGAUGACACUGACGCUCAUGUACGAAAGCGUGGGUAGCAAACAGG
rnacentral:rRNA from 1 species